AUGGGUCAUAAUUUUCUGUACCCUACAGUAUGAUAAAAACAUAAAAGUAGAUAUUAGACAUGCAGCAACAGAAGUCAGCCUCCAAAUGAAGUUGGAUUUUGAUACGUAUAACAGGAAAAUUCUCUGUUAGCUUUUCCAUUCUUUUGAAGACAAUUUUCUUAAAACAAAAAUUUAUGGCAAUCAACAUACUAAGAAAAGUAAAAAAGCAACAUCUUGAAAUAUGAAAUCAAUGGGGAUUAUAUUGAAUACUAUGCAGGUAUAAUAACUUACUUCCCAUUGGUAAGUUAAAAA
rnacentral:misc_RNA from 1 species